CAGCCUGAUGCAGCGACGCCGCGUGGAAGGGGAUGGGAAGGGCCUUCGGGUUGUAAACCUCUUUUAUCGGGGAGCAAGCGUUGAGUUGAGUUUACCCGUUGAAUAAGCACCGGCUAACUACGUGCCAGCAGCCGCGGUAUAC
rnacentral:rRNA from 1 species